GGGACUGUAGUUCAAUUGGUUAGAGCACCGCCCUGUCACGGCGGACGUUGCGGGUUCGAAUCCCGUCAGUCUCG
rnacentral:tRNA from 1 species